rnacentral:rRNA from 1 species
AUUGAACGCUGGCGGCAGGCCUAACACAUGCAAGUCGAGCGGAUGAAGGGAGCUUGCUCCUGGAUUCAGCGGCGGACGGGUGAGUAAUGCCUAGGAAUCUGCCUGGUAGUGGGGGAUAACGUCCGGAAACGGGCGCUAAUACCGCAUACGUCCUGAGGGAGAAAGGGGGGGAUCUUCGGACCUCACGCUAUCUGAUGAGACUAGGUCGGAUUAGCUAGUUGGUGGGGUAAAGGCCUACCAAGGCGACGAUCCGUAACUGGUCUGAGAGGAUGAUCAGUCACACUGGAACUGAGACACGGUCCAGACUCCUACGGGAGGCAGCAGUGGGGAAUAUUGGACAAAGGGCGAAAGCCUGAUCCAGCCAUGCCGCGUGUGUGAAGAAGGUCUUCGGAUUGUAAAGCACUUUAAGUUGGGAGGAAGGGCAGUAAGUUAAUACCUUGCUGUUUUGACGUUACCAACAGAAUAAGCACCGGCUAACUUCGUG